GGGGGUAUAGCUCAGGGGUAGAGCAUUUGACUGCAGAUCAAGAGGUCCCCGGUUCGAAUCCGGGUGCCCCCU
rnacentral:tRNA from 3 species